rnacentral:rRNA from 1 species
UACAGAGGGUGCGAGCGUUAAUCGGAAUUACUGGGCGUAAAGCGUGCGUAGACGGUUAUUUAAGUCGGGUGUGAAAGCCCCGGGCUCAACCUGGGAAUUGCAUUCGAGACUGAAUAGCUAGGGUACGGUAGAGGGAAGUGGAAUUUCCGGUGUAGCGGUGAAAUGCGUAGAUAUCGGGAGGAACAUCAGUGGCGAAGGCGGCUGCCUGGCCCAAUACUGACACUCAGGUGCGACAGCGUGGGGAGCAAACAGG